CGGUAAUACGUAGGGAGCAAGCGUUGUCCGGAUUUACUGGGUGUAAAGGGCGCGCAGGUGGGUUGACAAGUCAGAGGUGAAAUCCUACAGCUUAACUGUAGAACUGCCUUUGAGACUGUCAAUCUUGAGUACGGAAGAGAGAGAUGGAAUUCCAGGUGUAGUGGUGAAAUACGUAGAUAUCUGGAAGAACACCAGUGGCGAAGGCGGUCUCUUGGUCCAAUACUGACACUAAGGCGCGAAAGUGUGGGGAGCGAACAGGAUUAGAUACCCUGGUAGUCCACACCGUAAACGUUGGGCGCUAGGUGUGGGAUCCAUUCCACGGGUUCCGUGCCGCAGCUAACGCAUUAAGCGCCCCGCCUGGGGAGUACGGCCGCAAGGCUAAA
rnacentral:rRNA from 1 species